ACGCACGCUGGCGGCGUGCUUCACUCCUGCAAGUCGAACGGAAAGGCCCUGCUUUUGUGGGGUGCUCGAGUGGCGAACGGGUGAGUAACACGUGAGUAACCUGCCCUUGACUUUGGGAUAACUUCAGGAAACUGGGGCUAAUACCGGAUAGGAGCUCCUGCUGCCUGGUGGGGGUUGGAAAGUUUCGGCGGUUGGGGCUGGACUCGCGGCUUAUCAGCUUGUUGGUGGGGUAGUGGCUUACCAAGGCUUUGACGGGUAGCCGGCCUGAGAGGGUGACCGGCCACAUUGGGACUGAGAUACGGCCCAGACUCCUACGGGAGGCAGCAGUGGGGAAUAUUGCACAAUGGGCGGAAGCCUGAUGCAGCAACGCCGCGUGCGGGAUGACGGCCUUCGGGUUGUAAACCGCUUUCGCCUGUGACGAAGCGUGAGUGACGGUAAUGGGUAAAGAAGCACCGGCUAACUACGUG
rnacentral:rRNA from 1 species